AUCCAACUGACGAGUUCCCAAUAGGACGAAACGCGCGUCAAACUGGAU
rfam:Schistosoma rodhaini strain Burundi genome assembly, scaffold: SROB_scaffold0005823